CACGUAUUCCCUUUGUUCCAAAUUACUUGUCGCCGAUAUAGAUAUAUCUAAAUGUAUUUUAGUUCUAGAUACAUCUAUUCAUGUGACGAGUAAUUUGGAACGAAGGGAGUACGUU
rnacentral:pre_miRNA from 1 species